rnacentral:rRNA from 1 species
AAUCCAUAGGUUAAUGAGGCGAACCGGGGGAACUGAAACAUCUAAGUACCCCGAGGAAAAGAAAUCAACCGAGAUUCCCCCAGUAGCGGCGAGCGAACGGGGAGGAGCCCAGAGCCUGAAUCAGCAUGUGUGUUAGUGGAAGCGUCUGGAAAGGCGCGCGAUACAGGGUGACAGCCCCGUACACAAAAGCGCAUGUGCUGUGAGCUCGAUGAGUAGGGCGGGACACGUGGUAUCCUGUCUGAAUAUGGGGGGACCAUCCUCCAAGGCUAAAUACUCCUGACUGACCGAUAGUGAACCAGUACCGUGAGGGAAAGGCGAAAAGAACCCCGGCGAGGGGAGUGAAAAAGAACCUGAAACCGUGUACGUACAAGCAGUGGGAGCACCCUUUGGGGUGUGACUGCGUACCUUUUGUAUAAUGGGUCAGCGACUUAUAUUCUGUAGCAAGGUUAACCGUAUAGGGGAGCCGGAGGGAAACCGAGUCUUAACCGGGCGUUAAGUUGCAGGGUAUAGACCCGAAAC